UACGUCGGGUGCAAGCGUUGUCCGGAAUUAUUGGGCGUAAAGAGCUCGUAGGCGGUCUGUCGCGUCUGCUGUGAAAACUCGGGGCUUAACCCCGGGCCUGCAGUGGGUACGGGCAGACUAGAGUGCGGUAGGGGAGACUGGAAUUCCUGGUGUAGCGGUGAAAUGCGCAGAUAUCAGGAGGAACACCGGUGGCGAAGGCGGGUCUCUGGGCCGUAACUGACGCUGAGGAGCGAAAGCAUGGGGAGCGAACAGG
rnacentral:rRNA from 1 species